GUGUUCCACGCUGUCGGUUCGCCGCCCGUCGGUGUCAACUGGCAUGUCCUGUGGAACGUCCUGCCGGUGGCGGUCCGGGCUUUCGGCUUGCGUAAGGGCUCACGCCCGAAGCAGGCCGAACAGUACCGGCCGCCGGUCCAAUCCCGCCACGGUGCUCUUCACCGAGUGUCGAGGUGGGCCGGCACGUUUACUUUGAACAAAUUAGAGUGCUUAAAGCAGGCUGGUGUCCGCCUGAAUACUGUGUGCAUGGAAUAAUAGAAUAGGACCUCGGUUCUAUUUUGUUGGUUUUCGGAACCCGAGGUAAUGAUUAAUAGGGACAGGCGGGGGCAUUCGUAUUGCGACGUUAGAGGUGAAAUUCUUGGAUCGUCGCAAGACGAACCUAAGCGAAAGCAUUUGCCAAGUAUGUUCUCGUUAAUCAAGAACGAAAGUUAGAGGUUCGAAGGCGAUCAGAUACCGCCCUAGUUCUAACCAUAAACGAUGCCAGCCAGCGAUCCGCCGAAGUUCCUCCGAUGACUCGGCGGGCAGCUUCCGGGAAACCAAAGCUUUUGGGUUCCGGGGGAAGUAUGGUUGCAAAGCUGAAACUUAAAGGAAUUGACGGAAGGGCACCACCAGGAGUGGAGCCUGCGGCUUAAUUUGACUCAACACGGGAAACCUCACCAGGCCCGGACACCGGAAGGAUUGACAGAUUGAGAGCUCUUUCUUGAUUCGGUGGGUGGUGGUGCAUGGCCGUUCUUAGUUGGUGGAGCGAUUUGUCUGGUUAAUUCCGAUAACGAACGAGACUCUAGCCUGCUAACUAGGCGAUUCCGGUACCCACAAUAGUGUUACCGGCGAUUCAAUUUCUUCUUAGAGGGACAGGCGGCUCCUAGCCGCACGAGACUGAGCAAUAACAGGUCUGUGAUGCCCUUAGAUGUCCUGGGCCGCACGCGCGCUACACUGAAGGAAUCAGCGUGUCUUCCCUGGCCGACAGGCCCGGGUAACCCGUUGAACCUCCUUCGUGCUAGGGAUUGGGGCUUGCAAUUGUUCCCCAUGAACGAGGAAUUCCCAGUAAGCGCGAGUCAUAAGCUCGCGUUGAUUACGUC
rnacentral:rRNA from 1 species